rnacentral:lncRNA from 1 species
UUUGAUAUUUUUAAUUAAUUUUUUAAAAAAUUGAAGACAUUUCUUUACUUGACAAUAAUUUUUCCUAAUCUAGUUAAGUUACCUUUUAAAAAAUUUACUUUUUAAAAAUUAAAUCAUUUGAAUCAAUCAAGAUCUAAAAAUCUAUUCUAUUAAUGAAGUACAUUACCGUCGACUUGUACUUGGAUUGAUUGAGCGAAGGCUGCCUUGUCCCGUAUGAUAUGGUAAAAUUUUAAAUUAGUAAAUUAUCCCGUAACUUAGGCAAAAAGCAAGCAAUAACUUGCCUAAGGUAAUGAUGACCUUUUUAAUUUAACAAAGGAAUGAAAUUCUUCUAGAAAUUCUUCCAGAAAUUCUUCCUUUCUUCUAGAAAUUCUUCCUUUCUUGUAAAAGAGAGUGGUAUAUUGAGAGAGAGAGAGAGAGCGGGGAAUUAGGAGUGGUCCAGAGAUUUGACGCGAUUAUU